ensembl:snRNA U6 U6 spliceosomal RNA
GUGCUUGCUUUGGCAGCACGUAUACUAAAAUUGGAAUGAAAGAGAGAAGAUUAGCAUGGCCCUUUCACAAGGAUGACAUGCAAAUUUGUGUAGCAUUCCAUAUUUUA